UACGUAGGGGGCAAGCGUUGUCCGGAAUCAUUGGGCGUAAAGAGCGUGUAGGCGGCCAGAAAAGUCCGCUGUGAAAACUCGAGGCUCAACUUCGAGCUGUCGGUGGAAACUUUCUGGCUAGAGUCCGGAAGAGGAGAAUGGAAUUCCUGGUGUAGCGGUGAAAUGCGCAGAGAUCAGGAAGAACACCCGUGGCGAAGGCGGUUCUCUGGGACGGUACUGACGCUGAGGAGCGAAAGCGUGGGGAGCGAACAGG
rnacentral:rRNA from 1 species